rnacentral:lncRNA from 1 species
CUCAUUUAUGGGCCAGGGAUUUAGUUCAGUGGCACAACACCUGUCUUCUGGCAAACAAAAGGUCCUGAGUUCGAACCCCAGUACCAAAAAAAAAAAGCUCAUUUAAUCAGAGGCUACAUUAAUAAAAGUAUAAAGUUUCAAACAAAAGAACAAUUGAAAGAAGACAAUGGUCUCGCCUUAAACUGAGCUGGUCAGCUGAUCUCAGCUACUAGAGUGAGGUAUUAACUAAGUACAGGGCUCCAGUGACAAUGCUGCCAUUUCCCACAAUUUCCAAGCUUCUUUUCAAGGGAUCUUUUUCACGUUUCCACACCAGUCUCACCAACAUUCCCCUCACUGCUCUCAGGUGAUAAGUGGGCCUCAGAUUAUCAAACAACUACUUCAAAUCCUUUCAGAUGUCUCUAUAGCCACAGAAUUCUACUUAGUAGAAGUGUCUCUCCUGCUCAAGACACAUUCCUUCACUGGAUGUUGCCUCUCCAGCUUUCUCAGGAAUCCUAUUUUAUUACUUAUUCACACUUCAUUCUAUUGUUUCUCUAACUCUCCCUUUCUCCAGGCUCUUAUCUGCUAAACAAAGGAGGUCAAGUCUCCUUUAUCUUAAAUAAACCAGACCCUUUGGCCUGCAGCAUCUGCCUUAUCUCUCUCCUACUCUUCACAGCUUCUGCAAGGGGAGCCUCCAGUCAUUGUUUUCCCUACUCACUUCCUAUCUACUCCACAAUCUCUUGCUCUGUAGACUCUGGUCCCUUCACUACUCUGAAAAGCUCUUGUGCAAUGACUUCCUCAUUGCUAAAUCCAAAGAACAAUUUUUCUCUAUACUCUUACAGCAUUUGAUUGUUAUUUUUAAAGUCUUUGUUUCUGAGAUAGUACUAUUUCUUGAUUUUUCCACUAACAUGUGUGGACAUUCAUUUUCUGUUGACAUUAUGAGCUGUUUGAUUAUCCUGUAAUGUUGGUCCUCCUCUAUGUACCAUAUGUGUGGUGGACUCAGCUAACAUCUGUUGACAAAUCACACAUCUGAAGUUCUAGAUUUCUUCUGAAUUCUUGGUCUACUAUUCAAGUGCCUAGGCUUUCUUUAACUCAGCAUGUCCACAGUUUCAAUAUCUGUACAGGCCAAUUCUCUCUAUAAAUUAAUUUGGCACAUUUCAUUCAUUUAAGGCAAUCAUUUAAGAACUACCUUUGAUACCACCUCUUCCUUUCCUCCUAUAUCAAUUGGUCAUUAUGUCCUAAAUCUUUCUUGAAUUAGUCCCCUGCACUGCUAUAUCAUUUCCCUAAUUCAGGACAUUUCUCAGUAGGAACACAAUAACAGCAUUUUAACUAGUUUCUUGCCCUUCUCUUGUUUCCUUUGUCUAUGCUGCCAGAGAAAUUUUCCAAAGUCAAAAGUUUCAGUUGUUCCCCACUACCUUCAUAAUACAUUCUUGGUUACUUAGCAUGGUAUUGGAUGCCAUUCACAGUGUAGCUUUCCUGGAAGCUGUCAAUCUAAACAACUGAAGUACCCUGAAAGAUCUCUACAAAAUCUUUCCCUGAGUUAUUUGUCCCCUUCCGACCCCAUUAUGUAGUCCUUCCAUCACUGAGUUCAGAUCUCUCCUCUUGCAUAGUGUUUCAGUAGCUUCCCCAGGCAAGAUUAGGGACCUCCCUGGAAUGUUACCACAGCACUGUGUGUUUGCUUGUUAGGUCACUCAUAUCAACUCUGCAAAUGUUAAUGUACUUAUCUGGACACCACAUUUAAACCACAGGAAUAAUAAUAGCUAGUAUUUGUUGAACACUGUGUAGCAGGUUCUAUAUUAGAUAUACAGCGUUCUUACUUAUUUAAUCUUCACAGCAGUUGUAGGAGUAGGUAGUAAUACUACCCUUGAUGUACAAAUGAGGAAACUAAGCUCAGAGAAGUUAAGCAAGUCUCUCAAUGUUGUAGAAUUAUACUUCAAUCUUUUUAGAAGUAUGGAUAAUGUCUUAUUUGUCUAUGAGAAGUUGGCAGAGUCUAGUCACAUGGUAGCUGUUCAAUAAAUGUUUAUGGAUUAAAUAAAUAAAGAGCUCAGAGGACAAAAGUAGGAUGAACAAAGAGAAAUUAAGUAGAGGAUUUUAGUUUAGUAUGAGGAAAAACUUUAUACUAGCUAGCACUGACCAACAGAAUGGAUUACUUUAAAAAAAGAGUUACAAACUGGGCAUUGUGGUGCAUACCUAUAAUCUCAGCUACUUGGGAGGCUGAGGCAUGAAGGCUUCAGGUUCAAGGCCAGCCUUGGCAAUGUAGUGAGACCCUAUCACAAAACAAAAAGGGCUGAGGAUGUAGCUCAGUAGUAGAGCACUCCUGGGUAGAGCACUCCCACAUACAUACAAGAACUCAACAAAACAACAAGUUACAUUUGGCUUUUUG